GAGCAUCCCCAGGACCCCAAGUGUCCCCAGGGCCUGGCCAAGCGUCCCCAGGAUCCCGCCGAGCAUCCCCAGGACCCCAAGUGUCCCCAGGGCCUGGCCAAGCGUCCCCAGGAUCCCACCGAGCAUCUCCAGGAUCCCACCAAGUGUCCCCAAGGCCCAGCUGAGUGGACCAGGACCCUGUCAAGUGUCCUCUAGACCUCACCAAGUGUCCCCAGGGCCCCACCAAAUAUCCCCAAGGCCCAGCCCAAGCGUCCCCAGCUCAGCAACCCCCCCCCGCAAGCCCUGGGCUAAACGUCCCCAGCACCGCGUCAAGCGUCCCCAGCACCCGGCCGAGCAUCUCCAGGUCCAACGCGAGCGUCCCCAGCCCAUCGUCCCCCUCCCAGGACACGGCCUGGGUGUCCCCAGGACCCAGUCAAGUGUCCCCAACACCUGGGUAAGCAUCCCCAAGACCUGGCCCAACGGUCCCCAACAGAAAGCCCCCUCCAGGGCUGUCCUCAGAGCCAGGUCAAGUGUCCCCAGAGCCCAGUUGAGUGUCCCCAAGGCCGGGCCAAGCGUCCCCAAGGCCCACGGGCGGCCGACCUGCGUCGCUGUCGCUGUCGGAGUCGCUGAGGGGCUUGAGGGGCGAGUGGAGGUCCUGGAAGUAGCGGUGGCCGCCCUCGCACUGCCACACGGCCGUGGUGUAGAGGCCGAAGGUGGGGUCCAGCUCGGCCAGGUGCGGCUCGUAGGGACACCGGUUCUUGUGGUCCUCGUACCAGAUCACCAUGUU
rnacentral:lncRNA from 1 species